UACAGAGGGGGCUAGCGUUGUUCGGAAUUACUGGGCUUAAAGCGCAUGUAGGCGGCUUACCAAGUCAGGAGUGAAAUCCCAGGGCUUAACCCUGGAAUUGCUUUUGAUACUAGUAGGCUAGAAGAUGGUAGAGGAUAAUGGAAUUCUUAGUGUAGGAGUGAAAUCCGUAGAUAUUAAGAGGAACACCAGUGGCGAAGGCGGUUAUCUGGGCCAUUCUUGACGCUGAGAUGCGAAAGUGUGGGGAGCAAACAGG
rnacentral:rRNA from 1 species